rnacentral:rRNA from 1 species
UCAGGCCUAACACAUGCAAGUCGAACGAAGUAGCAAUACUUAGUGGCAGACGGGUGAGUAACAUGUGGGUAUCUACCCUUUGGCCUGGAAUAACACGAGGAAACUUGUGCUAAUACUGGAUAAGUCUUUACGGAGAAAGCUUUAUGCACCAUUGGAUGAGCCCGCACUUGAUUAGUUUGUUGGUGGGGUAAUGGCCUACCAAGACUUUGAUCAAUAGCUGAUUUGAGAGGAUGAUCAGCCACAUUGGGACUGAGACACGGCCCAAACUCCUACGGGAGGCAGCAGUGGGGAAUCUUGCACAAUGGAGGAAACUCUGAUGCAGCGAUGCCGCGUGAGUGAAGAAGGCCCUUGGGUUGUAAAGCUCUUUCGUCGGGGAAGAAAAUGACUGUACCCGAAUAAGAAGGUCCGGCUAACUUCGUGCCAGCAGCCGCGGUAAUACGAAGGGACCUAGCGUAGUUCGGAAUUACUGGGCUUAAAGAGUUCGUAGGUGGUUGAAAAAGUUGGUGGUGAAAUCCCAGAGCUUAACUCUGGAACUGCCAUCAAAACUUUUCAGCUAGAGUUUGAUAGAGGAAAGCAGAAUUUCUAGUGUAGAGGUGAAAUUCGUAGAUAUUAGAAAGAAUACCAAUUGCGAAGGCAGCUUUCUGGAUCAUUACUGACACUGAGGAACGAAAGCAUGGGUAGCGAAGAGGAUUAGAUACCC